rnacentral:rRNA from 1 species
UACGUAGGGUGCAAGCGUUAAUCGGAAUUACUGGGCGUAAAGCGAGUGUAGGCGGUUUGGUAAGUCGGGUGUGAAAGCCCCGGGCUCAACCUGGGAAUUGCAUUCGAGACUGCGUAGCUAGGGUGCGGAAGAGGGAAGCGGAAUUUCCGGUGUAGCGGUGAAAUGCGUAGAUAUCGGAAGGAACACCAGUGGCGAAAGCGGCUUCCUGGUCCAGCACCGACGUUCAGGCACGAAAGCGUGGGGAGCAAACAGG